rnacentral:lncRNA from 1 species
AAUUCACCAUACGCUUUCGGCCAAUCCAAAGAGAGAUAGUGAGUUCAAUGUAUAAUAAUGGAAAUAAUCCAAUAUAUACUCAAAAGGUCUGUGGUCUGCUAUCUGCAUUUUACCCCUCAGUCUGCAUUUUACCCCCGGUCUGCAGUCUACAGUCCGCAGUCUGUGUUCUACACUGACCAGCAAGAAUAGCCUCCGGCAGCCAGGGUAUUACAAAGGGGAGACCACUUCAAACCAUGAGAUAAUAGUCACUGGGGUAGGCUCAAUAAUACUUUAUUACCAAUUUGUAAAAGUCAUUUCGCUGAAUUGAGACCAUGAAAUCAUUUGAUAAGAACAGCAAUGUGGCCGAUCAAAUGACCAGUUAGCGAAAGCCUAGAUUUCUUGGUCUUCCUAUAGCCCCUUACCAUCAAAUUCUCGUAACCAUCCCAAAUAACGAAUAAGAAAACCUGUAAGGAGAACUGGUAUUUUCAUCCUUAGGAUCGAGUGCUCUGUGAGACAUAAAAGACGUUUUAGUGAUAACAAAACAAGCUUUGUUCAGUUUUGUGUCUGCAGUCGUAUUAACCCAAUCAUUUAACUUUCAUCCUCAGGGUUUUCCCAUUAAAGCGCCACGUGAGGACAAUGGUCAAAGCAAACGAAGAAAUGAAGAAAAGGUCACCAGUUUGAGCGAGGCGGACAAUUUCUGUAGCAUGUUUUUGUAGAUUUUGUUUGUAUAAUAGAGUGUAAAUUGCACCAAUAUUAAAAAGACAUUGCUUUCCUUCAUGUUGUGAAAUUAAGCUUAUAAUCGUAAAUCGUAUUGAGUUUGUUGUCCUAAACGCGUCAAGAGUAUUUGUGUAGUUUGUGGAUCACGUCUUGCAGAUUUGCUUAGCUUGCUAUCAAUAUCUUUAACAGAUAAUUCUUUGCCCUGAUAAUGUAGAACAAGAACGUUUGAAAUACAUACCCUUUUAGCUCACUUGGUGCAGUUAAUCUCUCUACAUCGCUCUGUUGCGCGAUCGACGCUAAUGCAAAGUUAACGCGCUACCCUUGUCCGGGCGACCAGGUGCGCCCUGGGGCGACUUGUCCCCAGACCCCCAGACAAUCGCAACAAAAUUGUGCGCUCAACUGACGUGACUGUAAAAUAUUAGCCAUGAACGCCCAUACUUUUUUGGUCGCUUCGGCCACUUGUAAGUGAUUGUACAGGGUGGGCCGAGUAUUUUACUCGUGUUUUCAUCAUCAGGAAUUUCCGCAGGGCAUCAACCCUGCAUAGUCUCCCGUUUGUCGUCACGCAACGCUUCACCCCCUGUGGAAAGUUAGUAGCGUUUAUAGUAGAAGCGUUGUGUGACCAACUAUGUAACAGCUGCGAAGGAGUCUAGGUAAGGGUGCGUUCCUUUGGGGUAAUCUGGAUCAGGAUCAGUGAUCCUAGAUCGCUCGGAUCAUGGUGCAUCAAAGGAGCCGAUGAAUUCGUGACCAGAAUGGAUUCAUCGGUUCCUUUGAUUGGCCAUAUAUGAUCUGAGUAAUCUUGGAUCACCGAUCUUGACCCAGAUUACUCUAGAGGGUCCAACCCAAAAGUCUGCAUCUCCGAAACGUAGAUCGCGAUUUGCAAAAUUUGUUUUACGAGGGAAGUUGCAAUUGCUUGUAAAGGGCAAUUUGUGAUAAGACAUUGUUGGUCUUCCCAUAGGUCAGGAGAUUCUCGGAUUAACUAUGUUUGCCAGGCGUGCAUUUCGAAAGACAUUAUUCGCAAGUAGAUGCUAGUAGAAAACUUGGGUCUACUUGCGACUCCGUUUGGCCAGACCUUACGCACACUUACACUGACUUGCGAUCACGAGACCUCGAGAUCGAAUUUGCACGUAAUUCGACGCAAGUAUACAGUAAAUGAACCAACAUUAACUCUAUCAACAGAACGAGUGACAACACAUGGAGUAAAGAAAAAUGGUCUGAUAAGGCGAAAAAGUCAAAGAAAAGGCAUUAUAACAGUGUAGUUACCCCAAUAAAUGUCAAUUUCGUGGUUUAAGUCUACUUGUUUUGUUUUGCGCGCGAACAGCAACAGAUACGAUGUGUCAGCGAAAAGUCAAGAAAAUGCGCUUUAUUUUUUCUAACAUGACGCAACUGCGGACAUAAAUGCUCAUCUCCAUAUCCAGUGAUUGAAAUAACACUUCUUUCAAUUUUCGGUGCCUCCUCAUUUCUCGGAAACCAAGUGUAUUCACAGUUGGAGAGAGAUCAACAUAAUCAAAGCUGCACGUCUGACACGCAGCCCAAGGGCAAAUAUUUUGACCUGGAUAUGCUCAAGCGAACGAAGAUAGCAAUCACCUACACAAUUUCUGGCGUUACUAAGCUUCUUAGAUUUCUUUGUACGGGUAUAGAAGUGACGCGAAUAAAAAUAGCCGUGGUUCUUACAACAGGAAAAGGCGCGCAUUUAAGAAAACGCACUACAACCGCGAGGCUGUUGCGGUUAUUAGUCGACGUGGGCAGCCACCCAAUAUCAACAAAAAUCUGCUUAUGAAAGUAAUUUCUGGCCGUUUUCGUCUACACAAACAAGUAGCUCUGACGCAAUUGGCGCCGACAAAGUUCAUACGUGGGCGCGCUUCGAAUCCAGGUCAUAUGCACCUUAGAAAUUCACACUCUGUAAGAAAGAUAGGCAUAAAUAAAGGCGCACUUCCAACAAGCCACGCAAGGGCAAAUAUUUCACUUCUGAUACGCUAAGGUAAAUAACUGUUUCGAUCAGCUAUACGUUUUCGUAUCUUGGGUUUCCCUGUGUUCGUCAGGAAGCGAUGCUAGUUAAAAAAUGAAAACAACCAACAGGGACAGGCGCGCGCGAGAAGGGACGCGUGGACCCUUUUAUGAUGGAACGGAUUUUAUUCGUCUAGGUCUACUCACAAAACAACCACAUACGAGUAGUGCACUCUCAAAACAGCUUUCAAGCCACAACAUUCCUGCUCUACUGCAAAAGUCUAAUUCAUUUGUAUUCACUUUGUACGCUCAAGGUCAAAAAUUGCAUACCAUCACUUGUAAGGCUUAGAAAAAGGACCAAUUGCUGUCAAAAUGGAAUUACCCUACACUUUCUAAUCAGGAUAUAAUGCGCCGUCGACAAGUCGUAAAUGAGUAUAGACUUCGGACACAUUAGUCUGUUCAAAAUCGGUUCUCUCCUUUCUUCCUGCUCCGCCCACUGGACUUGAAUUAUUCCAUUCAAGAGUACAGGGAAAGAUCAGAGAUUUGAUAAUCCACACACAAGAAAAUAGAGCUUGCUGCAAAGACAAAAAGGAGUUUUAAACGAGAAGCAACUCACAAGAAAUCAAAUUCAAACCAGGAAGAAACGAAUGUGGAGCUAAAAUAUUCGUUCGCGUCGAAGAGACUGAAAUUAACUGCGAGGAAAUACAUAAACAAACGCACAGCCAGCAGUCGCACGAGAAUGAAACGUGCGCGCGAGAGGGCGCGUGAAUCUAUUAAAAGCACACCCACGACUAACACACGCACGCCAGUGAGAAAAACAACGCAACCUUUCCGUAGCACUGUAGCGAGAAAGAAAUAAAGGUCAUGUUUUGUGCCUAGAAAAUUGUGCAUACGUAAUAUUUCAAAUAUAAUUAUUGGCUUACGUUUAUAAUCUCGAUGGUUUUAGAACUUGAUGACUUCACGUGAAAAUGAUCUUAGGACGAUCCGUUCAAAAUCGGUUCUCUCCCAUCCUCCUGCUCCGCCCACUGAGCUAAAAGAUACAUUCCAUGACGUCGGUGUCCCAAAGACCUAAUUUGAAUAAAUGUUUGUUUAUCGAAGCAGAUUUCCAGAAUAAAAUUGGUCACGCGAAAACAACCAUUCGCUAUAAAAGACGGAAACAUCUAUCUAAACGAUCUGACGAAAAAUGGCACUUUUUGGUCCACACGAUCCUACAAACGACUUUUUUGAAGAGGUGCGUCUUGGAAGGCGAUUUCCUCUGUGCUGUUCCAAUGUCAUGUUACGGUAUGACUCAAGCACUGGAGAUUUCACGGCCCUGAAUGGACGAAUUAUCCGAAAAACGCCACAACGAACACAAAAGAACACAGCAACUGCACUAACGGUCAAGGCUAAGGGAGGAUGCGAAUUCCACAUCAGGCGAAAUCCAGGAGGAGGAUACCGAGUCGACAAUUGUUGCACUUGGAUAAAAGUUGAGACAAUGUACAAGAUUUCAAAGUACUAAGAAUGUUAUGGAAAGCUUGGAUGUCUGCAGACUGCUCAGGCACCAUUCUAUAGUGUUAAGUCAAUAAAGUACACAUAUAUGUGCUAAAAAAUACACAUGUAGGUGUAAUUUUUUAAGAAGAUUUACAGUCUGAAAAUGCAUCCUUCGCAUGACCAAGUUUUACUCGCUAACAGACUGAAAAUAUACAGUCUACUUGUGCGUUAAAUGGCCCGUGUAAAUAUUUUGGGCAAGUUUCGCGCGAGCAUAUAGAAGCGCGCGGGUCAAAAUGCGGUAUAAAAUUUGACAGGCGAGCCAUCAGCUUUUAUGCGCACAACUUUCGGCACCUCUGCAUUAGCAAAUUAUUUGCUUUGCGCGAACUACAACACAUAUUCCGGCAACAGCGAAGGGCAACAAAUCAGCAAGGACUCGAGAAAAUGCGCUAUUUUUCAAAACAUGAGGAAGUUGCGGACAUAAAUGCUCAGCUCCAUGUGCAGUGAUCAAAUUAACACUGCUUUGAAUCUUCAAUCCCUCCUUCUUGCUUUGUGCGGAAACUAAUUGUAAUCGCAGUUAGAGAGAGAUCACAUAAUUAAAGCCGCGCGUCUGCCAAGCAGCCCGAGGGCAAAUAUUUUGAUAUACUCGCAUAACUAGAUGAACAUGACAAUCAGCUCCACUAUUUCUGCGUUACUAAGAUUCUUAGAUUUCUUUGUACGCGCUUUAAAGUGACGCGAAUAAAAAAUAGCUGUGUACAUGUAAAAGGAAAAGGCGCGAGACGAAAAAGACGCCCUAAACGCGCGAAAUUUUUGCGGUUAUCAACAAAGAUCUACUCACAAAGGUUUUUUCUGGCCGCUUUUGUCUGCGCAAACACGUCAUUGGCGUCGAUAAACCUAAUAGGUGGGCGCACUUCUAAUCCAUGUCAUAUGUAACUUAGAAAAACCUCUUAUCCAUACCGCUCAAGAAGUUUCAUAUUUCGCAGACUUGCCGCCACAUUCGUCUUCAAAAGCUGAACAUUAACGAGCCGAAGAACAAUUUUGUUGAAAUGAUCAGAAUUUGGGAGCACCAUUACAGUGUCAAUCCUGUGGCAAUCAUAAUUUAUGCCUGAAGUGGAGCAAUUGAAGUCCAGUUAGGACGAAAGAUUUCGGGAAAUAGGGAUCGCUUCAAGCUCGUAACAUCAGACGCAGAAAUCGUUGAAAUUCAGCGAAAGCGUGAAACAGGUUACGAGAUUAUCAAAGGAGGACACGUUCUCACAAAGAAAAGAAUAUAUUAUGAGUGAGCUUCGACAGCACGUUGACGAGAUUGACCGCGAAAGGAAGACGCCUUAGCAAAAGGAUUCAAUGAUGAUGUGACUGAUCGAUAAAUAAAAUCAGUGAAAUAUCAACUUUGUGUAAUUGUUUUGUGUGAAAUGGCUCGUCAUUUGUGCGCGCAAAGUAUAGCGUAUUUCACAGCCUUUGGGACAUAACAAAACUUAAGAUGAAAACACGAAUCUCGCGCGUAGAAAGAUGUCAUGCAAUGUGCCAAGCGUCUAGAAACAUCGAUUGAAACCCACGAGGUGCUAAUGAUCCGAAUCUAUUUUCCCUCUACCUCUAACCCUCCCAUUUAUAAUUGCACUAACCAUAUUCAAUAUGCGACAAGCAAAGCCAAAGGGCAAAUACUUCAACUUUCUCAGGAAAAAAAUAUACAGGACUGCUAAGUUCGACAAAUAUUAGAAACAGGUUUAGAGCCAUGCAACCGACGAUGACGCAAAGCUUCGAUUCUAUUUGACAGGUUCAAAAGAAAGAAAUCACUAACGAGCGUUUGCACGCUACCGCGCGCAUAUGGGAGACGCGUUUUCACGCGCGCGCGUGUGAGAGAACGUGCUGGUUGACAGAGACUACUAAAAUUAGAUUAUUCUGGUGCUGCCGUCAUUAAGGUAUUAGCAUAAUUUGCGCGCAUGGUCGGUUUAUCACUCGCCGAUUCAAGCACGUUGUUCUGAGCAAGAGUGAGGGCAGUUUCCACUUAAAGAUUACAAUUUCAGUUUCGAAUCAAACCCAAUAUGGCCCAGCCGGGAGAUCCUGUAAAUGAUUUUAUCGAAUUCGUUCAAGUAUGGGGAGGUGUCCUCAGCAACUAUCUGGAAGCGGUCAUAAUGUACGACUCACGAAGGCGGAGAGAAUAUACCAUGGAAGAUGGAAGCGGAAAGGACAUCACCAUGUCUAAAACUUUUUUUGCCAACUUAUCAAAACCAAGCUUAGCGACUUGAGCAAGAAUCAGGAAUUACAGAGGAUGCUUGCCGAUCUAGGGUAUCAACUGAAUCUGUAAACUUCAAGUGUAGGCCAACCACCUACGCUUCGCGCGUAUAUAGUUAAACUUUUAAAAUACUUGUACUGCGGUAGAAACGAGACGGAACUGUAUAUAUAAUCAAACAGCCCAACGAAUAGUAAAUGAUAAAUGCGCUUCCAACACAAGCAUUCUAAGAAAAACAUCUCGUUUAAUUAAAUGCCAUGUCAUGUCUCGAAAUGCUCAGAGCCACACGCGCGCGGUGCAGGAGAUCCAAAUUGGUUCUCUCCCUACCUUCGCUCCUCCCCUUCCUAAGGUGGACUGAUUAACAAGCAUUCUUUGUUCUUGAGUCAGAUACCUCACGCUAGGAACAAGCCUCAUGGAAUUAAGUUUUUAUAACAAGCCAUUUUGCUCUUCAAUGUUGGGAAAUCUGUACUUAACGCAUUUGGCUAUUUGCUUAAAUGUGUGCAUUCUGUAAAGUUAUCAAAUCAUAGAGCCGCUCUAAAACUGUCUAAACGACAAUUUUGAUUCUAAACUGCGAUGCAAAUAAACGAAGCGCGCAUAUCACGCAACAUUGAGAUCAGUCCACAAAGACUGGCUAAAAAAGAUUCCAGAGUAAAAUGUGGCGCUCACGAAGACUUUUGUCGUUUUAUCCUGUUACACACGGCCACAGCUAGUAAAAUUUAUCAAUCGAGUAAGCCAUUCCAUUUCUCAUCGAAACUGACUGUAAAGAUACUUCACAGAAAUGCUACGAAAUGCUAACUGAACGAAACGAGGCAGUCUAAAUUCGGACAAAAACUAUCAUGAGAACUUAACACUUAAAUCAGAAGAGACAGUGAAUCAGAAUUUCACGAUCUACGUACUACCUUCCGUUUCAAGUACAACAACAGGCCUAGUCGAAACAAUUAGAUGGAACAAGACCGAGCUUAGAGCGCAGAUUAUUAAGCCAUACAUCAGUUUAGAAACAAAUAAGAGGAAACGCACCUUCAAUUGCGUCCAUUUCUCCAUAGCUCUUCUCUACUCAAACUGUAUGUCCCAAACACAAUAUUUACGAACAUUAAAAUCUCUCUGAAACAUUGUUUUUUCUACUGCGCAAUAAACAUCGCAGAACGACUGGAACUUUCCUUGCCUCUUAAAUAGCCCCAGAAAAUUUAAAGUGUGACGUUUACACUUUUAUGAGAAGCUAUUGGUCGCGCACUUUUAUUUUGUUGGGACGCACAUUCCCCAAAGCACCUAGGGCGAAACGUCAUUGGAGGAGGUCAGGCCAUAAUUUGGCAGCUUGUCAAUCAACGUCUUCAUUCACGAACAAUGAUAUGUCUUUCUUAGGCACUCGAUUAUUCUCGUGCUUGUGUGAUCAAUAAACAAAAUUACACAAUGGUGUUUCGAUACAACACACUAGAUGCUAGGAAAGCUGAGCGCUUAAUCGUUACGAAGACUUUCCUUUACAUAGAAACGUAAUGAAUCGAUCAAUGGAAGGAGUUCCAGAGGUUUCCUCGUACUUUUCUCCAUAAAGCAAAAUGGGCAACACAUUCGUAAGAAGAAAGACAGAAUCUACGAAACAGACACAUCUACCUCACGUCUUUUGGAAGAAUCGCGACAGAAAACGAAUUCACACGUAUUUCAUUUGCUUAUUUGUGUCAUACUUGGAAUGUCUUAAUGCCUUGAUGUUAUAGCGUUCCUUUUCUUUAGCAGUGCAUAACAACGUGGUAAGACACAACAAGCACAAAUAAACAAUCCAGAUCAAAAAAAAUAGUGACUCAACGUUCAGGUUCGAGGAUAAAGCUCCUCAAGAACCAUCUAAAUUCAAACUAUUUUAAUAUAAUUAAAAUUACAAUCAUAACAACUUAUCAAAUAUUAUGAUAGAUUCCCCAGUAAGACACUUGAAGCUUAAGUCCUGACCAGGCUCCUUGGACAAGACACCCUACCCUCUCCUCCCUGGUGUAUAAAUGGGAACUAGCAAAUUUUGCCGUUUGGCGUUUGAUCUAGCCAUCUAACAGAAUGCUAGAAGCUGUACUAGUGUGCUGUUUACCAGCAUCCAUCUCAGAGGAAGAACUCAUAUUGCUAGAGGUUUUAUGGUAUGAAAAAACAUACUUUAAAACCACACACAAGUUUAGCUCGUUUUGUGAGUAAUUUGCCCCAAAGACUGUUGGCUUCAUUCGAUAUUCUCCAACAAAUUGGCGUAAGUUAUACUUGUGAACGUAUAGCCAUUAAAUUGGCUACAUUCAACAUAUAAGGGUUGUUUUUCCCUGACAUUAGGCUGACUAAAAGAUGGCCACAGAUCCAUUUUGAUCACUCGGUGAUCGAGUCCUCUAGAACAUCCUAAUGAAACAGUACAACCCCGAGCAGCCAUAACGAUUGCGACUAAAUCAUGUCUGUCUGCUUCAUGUUCUCUAGAAGUUCAAAGCCAGCAGUUCAGCAAGGUAGAUACGUCAAACUGUACAAACUCGACAAAGUUUGUCCUCUUGUAAAAUGUCAAAUAAACACCACACGAAAAUAUGGCGACAAAGAUUCCAUUAGAAUAUUCACACACUAUUGUUUUAUCCAAAGUUCAAAGCUAACGCCACCUUGUACAAGAUAGUAAACAGUACGACCUGAAAAAACUGCUUUCAAUAGCUUUCAUUAGAAUUUAAUCCAGACUUGUUAAACCACCUUGUUCAGCAUAAUAAACAGAACCAUAAGAAAGUAUUCUUCGAUAGCUUUCACAUGAACGGUCACACAACGAAGUUUCGUCCACAGACUGAAAAGUUAGAACCACCUUGUACAGCAUAAUAAACAGUACCACGUGAAAUUACUGCUGAAUAGCUUUAUUUUAAUGGUCACACACUGGGGUUUCACCCAGAUUCAAAAGUUCGAGCCGCCUUUAACGGUACCACAUGAAAACAUAGUUCCAAAGCUUUCAUGUGAAUGGUCACACAACAGUGCUUUCUCUACAUCAUAAAAAGUUAGAACCACCUUGUGUCGCAUAAUGAACAGUAUCACAAGAAAGCACUACUCAAUAGUUUUCGUUUGAAUAGUCACACAACGGAGUUUCAUCCACAGAAUGAAAAGUUCGAACCACCUUGUGUCGCAUAAUGAACAGUAUUACAAGAACGCACUACUCAAUAGUUUUCAUUUGAAUAGUCACACAAAGGUGCUUUAUCCACAUCAUGAAAAUUUAGAACCACCUUGUGUCGCAUAAUGAACAGUAUCACAAGAAAGCACUACUCAAUAGCUUUCAUUUGAAUAGUCACACAAGGGAGUUUUAUCCACAGAAUGAAAAAUUCGAACCACCUUGUACAGCAUAAUAAAGGGUACCACAAGAAAGGACUGCUCAAUAGCUUUCAUUUGAAUGGUCACACAAUAGGAUCAGGCAGUUUUAGCCGCAUCGUAUGACUCGAGGUUUUACGUCAAAACCGGGGAAAGGGUUAAUAGGCCUCCAAGAGCAUACAAAACAAACAGAACUAUUAUUUUCUGGGGAAACAACCAGGGAAAAAACCCAACAACCCUGACAAAAGACAAAGAGUUUGUUAUCGCUCUUCUUUGAAAUGAAGAAGCAAUAUCUAGGGAUUCCCCCAUGACAAGGGGCUGUCACGAUUGAUUGAGUGAAGGCAAAACAGCAGUUAGCCAAUAGAAUGGUUGUAAUAGCCACAGCUAAAACAUAGAUGGAAGUGCUUGCAGAAGUAAAAUUCACCGCAUACUUCUCCCGAAACGUAACGAACACACCGGUAAACAGAACAAGGCGUCACAAGGUUGCUCAGUUGAAAUAAGCAGUCCAACUUGGUGAGUUAGCUUUUUCAAGUUGAAGAGAACAUGGAAAAUGCGACUGGUGACAAAGAAGCGGAGCUUUCAGGGAGCAGUGAUGGACCAAAAUCGUCACCCUAUCAACGGAUCGUUAUCGCCUGCCCUGACAAUCACAUCAUCGUUGUAAAGCGAUUCACGAGCGGAGAAGUCAAAGUUAAAGAGGGGAGACUUGUUGCUAUUGAGAACAAGAAGGGACGCUAGCAAGAGGGUUUUCCCAUUAAAGCGCCACGUGAGGACAAUGGUCAAAGCAAACGAAGAAAUGAAGAAAAGGUCACCAGUUUGAGCGAGGCGGACAAUUUCUGUAGCAUGUUUUUGUAGAUUUUGUUUGUAUAAUAGAGUGUAAAUUGCACCAAUAUUAAAAAGACAUUGCUUUCCUUCAUGUUGUGAAAUUAAGCUUAUAAUCGUAAAUCGUAUUGAGUUUGUUGUCCUAAACGCGUCAAGAGUAUUUGUGUAGUUUGUGGAUCACGUCUUGCAGAUUUGCUUAGCUUGCUAUCAAUAUCUUUAACAGAUAAUUCUUUGCCCUGAUAAUGUAGAACAAGAACGUUUGAAAUACAUACCCUUUUAGCUCA